AAGAGAACCUUUGCCUUCAAACAACUCAUCCUUAAAAUAAAACCCCAUGAAUUCAUAAUCCAUUGACACACCUCUAGGAGGGCUGUAAAAAUCAGGAAAAUGUCACGACAGAAAAAUUUCUUCCCAGGCGGCUGCUAUUUGUAAAAAUGAAAAAGCACAAAAAAAUCCAUUCCUUGUAAAAAAGCCUCCAUGACAUAACAGGAAAAAACUUCUCUCCCUACAAAAACUAAUACAAAACUAUUGUGUAAUUAAUACUGUGUUAACAUCCCAAGUUCUAUCUCUACAGUGUCAGGAAAAAAAAAAAGGAGAGGAAAGGCGUUCUGAAAGUUUUAUUAGAGUUUCUCAUUCUUGUAGUCCUGUUAAUAAAGUUCCUUUAUUCCUUCUAAGUUUUAAGCCUAUUUUGCCCUUCUCCUAAUCCAUAUCUCACAGUGAGAAAUGAGUAAGUGCCCUGGAGAUUUCAGCCAGCGCUAAACCCACCACAUUAUUUAGUGCAUUAGCCAAAAAACUCAAAUUAGCGAAUCUCAGCCACUGCACCAGGCUGAAGCUGAGGAUCCCCAGCCAAGCUCAGAGGGAGGAGAACACAGCAUUUGUGGGAUCCUUUCCAGUCUGACUUGCUUUAGCUGGAGCCUGGGGGAGGAGAGAGCAGGAGAAGGGUUGGCUGAGUCCUCUCCCCUCUGCCUUGCCCUUCUCUGCUGGAUCCUCAGUUCAUCCCACACCCACCCCAAGACUCCAUCCCCAUCCUACUGGUGCUGACGGGAUUAAAGGAGAUAAAGAGGAGAUUAAAAAGAUAGAGAGGAGAGAAAAAGAGAAGUUUAAAUGCAGCUUAAAUAUGAAAGAAAUACAUAUGUUAGUGACUGCUGAGAGUUCCAAGGGAGCUGAAGGGUUUGGGAAGGGCCAGGAGCCCGUGAAGGGCUCAGGAGCUGCUGCUGCCGGGAGGGAGGAAAUGCACCAAUGGCUCCCAGCAGAGUCUGUGCUUUGAGGCUCUUUCCCAAACAGCUGCAGGGGGGAAAGCAGCUGAGUUUGGAGGAAGAGUUUUCUGCUGAGGUUUCCUGUUUGGAGCUGUCACAAGCUUGAGCUGCUCAAGGGAAACGCGGCUCUGCUUCCAGCAGGGCCCAACUGCCCGGGAGCACAACUUGGUUCCCUGGCCCUGAGCCAACGGGCAGCAGCAGCUUCUGUUCCCUCCUGGCUCUUGUGUCAUUUCCAGCAGCACAAGACACACCAAGAAAAGCUCCUCCAGAACAUGCCAUGAGAAACACAACCUGAUUUCAUGGCAUGAAGGAGCUCUGACAGUCCCACAGGCUCAGGUUUGUUUGUCAGUGAACAGAGCAGGGAAAAGCACAGACACAUUCCCUGCACAGGGAAUUCACAGGAGGAAAGUGCAGCGCUGGAGGAUGUGCUUGGAUACAACGUUCCCACGGCAGUUUUGGGGAUAAAAUUGUCAGGAGAGAGAAAAGAAAAAGUGCUACCAAGGGUGGGCUGGGGAGGGCUGGUGCUUCCCGGGAGGCUCCCAAAGCUCAACAGUGUGGAAGAGUGGCUAGCUAACAAAGGUCGUGUUCCCAUGCAGCAAUUAGCUGAGAAAGAAUUAAACAACAGUAGAGUGUAGUUGGUAUGAGAUGUUGCAAUGUCAGAAAGACCUUAGUGAUAACUGUGAACUGAGAACAGGACACUGUGAUCAGAAGAAUGUGGAUUCAGCACAGAUGAACGACCACAAGAAUGUGGAACUAGGGAGUUUGGAGUUGCCAAUAAAUGAGACUUGCUGAUCAUUCA